GUAAGUGUCCUAUCACUAUCAAACUGUUACCAACUUUUCACGUUUUUCCUAGUACUAGACGGCGGUGAAAUGCGCACUCAGCAGUCAAGCCUGGGAGCUGGUUGUAGCCUGAAGCAACGGGUUACACGUAACCGAGCUGGGGUCUCAGUAAAACCAACAUCUUUCCUCCUUUAAACAAAAGUCAAGAGUCUAUUUAAAAAUGGGGCUAAAUAGAAGAAGGUGGGGAAGGUGCCUAACUUAAAAAACUAAGACUAAGGAGCUAGGGAGGCCCUCGACGGGACGAAGCAGUGGCAGACCCACCGGUUGCCUAAACACCUUUGCUGAGGACCCACAAGGCGGGCAGAAGAGGGAAUAUACUAGAAGGUGAAAGUAUCCUAGUCCACUAACGGUGAGAUUUUUGGAGGUCCCCAAGCCAGGACCUGGGCUUCUUUCCUACCUCGGCGGAGACACGCUCUCCUCGCCCCACGGUCGCCUUCGCUCACACCCGUGCCCCAGCAACGCUCCCUUCCGGCCUCUGACGUUAGUGGGUGGGGCCCCCACUUCCUGUGACGCAGCGGGUGCGGGCCGCUCGGAUGACUGCCUUCUUGGCACUCCCUUCUUGGUUUCCGCCCAUCCUCCUCUCGGGAGGUGGUCCUCCGGCACCUGGAAUGACAGUGGCUUUGCGUGCCUGGAACUCGCGCUGCCUUCCCGGCCUCUGUGGGGGCCAUCUUAGAAACUAGAAUGAGCGCUGAGACAUAGCGCUCGAGGAGGGGAUGGGACACCUUAGAGGUCAACUGAUGCUGCAACAGUAGCCCGUUAUGCCUUUUCUGAUGCUGGCAUCUGAGAUGUAAAUUGUGGCACAGUGGUGAAGAAUCCACUUGUUAAUGCAGGAGAUACCCUGGGUCAGGAAGAUCCCUGAAGAAGGAAGUGGCAACUCACUCCAGUAUUCUUGCUUGAAAGAUUCCAUGGACAGAAGAGCCUGGCAGGGUCACAGAGCCAUGGACUGGGGUCACAAGAGAGUCAAGACUCGACUGAACAGCAGCAGCAUGGCAGAACCUAACACGAGGAUAAUUAUCCUCCAAUUAAAAGUAAAUAAAAAGGAAAGCCCUCCAAUUGAUUUUGAUUUUGAAGAUUGAGAACCGUUGCCAUAUAUUAACUAUAGUUCUCAACCUUGUUCCCUCAUGGCCACUGUAAUUCCUAACAUAGUGUCCCAAACUUAGUAGAUACUUGAUUAUUUGACUUGAGAGCACAGGUAUACUUUGUCAGGGCCUGCAGCACCUGUAAGACAUCAUCCAUCUGGUAAGAGACUACGUGGGAAGAAGAGACUAAAAUGUUUGAGAUUCUUUUCUUUCCCUCUUUUAUAACACAGCUGCUUGGGAAGUCUGAACAAAAAGGCCCAUAAAGAAUGGGCCA
ensembl:lncRNA